AUACGGAGGAUGCGAGCGUUAUCCGGAUUUAUUGGGUUUAAAGGGAGCGUAGGUGGGAUAUUAAGUCAGCUGUGAAAGUUUGGGGCUCAACCUUAAAAUUGCAGUUGAUACUGGUUUCCUUGAGUACGGUACAGGUGGGCGGAAUUCGUGGUGUAGCGGUGAAAUGCUUAGAUAUCACGAAGAACUCCGAUCGCGAAGGCAGCUCACCGGGCCGGAACUGACACUGAUGCUCGAAAGUGCGGGUAUCAAACAGGAUUAGAUACCCUGGUAGUCCGCACAGUAAACGAUGAAUACUCGCUGUUUGCGAUACACUGUAAGCGGCCAAGCGAAAGCGUUAAGUAUUCCACCUGGGGAGUACGCCGGCAACGGUGAAACUCAAAUGAAUUGACGGG
rnacentral:rRNA from 1 species